rnacentral:rRNA from 1 species
AUUGAACGCUAGCGGGAUGCUUUACACAUGCAAGUCGAACGAGUGGCGGACGGGUGAGUAAUAUAUCGGAACGUGCCCAGUAGCGGGGGAUAACUACUCGAAAGAGUGGCUAAUACCGCAUACUAUUGGAGCGGCCGAUAUCGGAUUAGCUAGUAGGUGGGGUAAUGGCUCACCUAGGCGACGAUCCCUAGCUGGUCUGAGAGGAUGACCAGCCACACUGGAACUGAGACACGGUCCAGACUCCUACGGGAGGCAGCAGUGGGGAAUAUUGCACAAUGGGCACAAGCCUGAUGCAGCCAUGCCGCGUGUGUGAAGAAGGCCUUCGGGUUGUAAAGCACUUUCAGCGAGGAGGCGUUACUCGCAGAAGAAGCACCGGCUAACUCCGUGCCAGCAGCCGCGGUAAUAC